UGCCAGUAGUCAUAUGCUUGUCUCAAAGAUUAAGCCAUGCAUGUCUCAGUAUCAGCAUUAUCAUUGCUAAACUGCGAAUGGCUCAUUAAAACAGUUAUAGUUUACUUGGCGGUCACUCGUUAUAUGGAUAACUGUGGUAAUUCUAGAGCUAAUACAUGCGUUAAAACCCGACUUCUCGGAAGGGUUGUAUUUAUUAGAUACAGAACCAACUCACCCCGGUGAUUUUGGAUGAUUCAUGAUAAAUGAACGGAGCGUAUGGCUUGGGCCGACGCUAUGCCAUUCAAGUUUCUGACCUAUCAGCUAUCGACGGUAGGGUAUUGGCCUACCGUGGCAUUGACGGGUAACGGAGAAUUAGGGUUCGAUUCCGGAGAGGGAGCCNGAGAAACGGCUACCACAUCNAAGGAAGGCAGCAGGCNCGCAAAUUACCCAAUCCNGANNCAGGGAGGUAGUGACAAGAAAUAACAAAGCAAGCCCUUAGGGGCGCUGCGUUGGAAUGAGUAGAAUUUAAAUCUCUUUACGACUAUCGAUUGGAGGGCAAGUCUGGUGCCAGCAGCCGCGGUAAUUCCAGCUCCAAUAGCGUAUAUUAAAGUUGUUGNGGUUAAAAAGCUCGUAGUUGGAUUUCUGNUGAAGUCAGCCGGUGCACACCUCGUGUGUUAUUUGGCCUGGCUUUGGCAUCCUCUGGGGGAACGUUUCUGGACUUAAUUGGACAGGGCGAGAUUCCAGACUUUUACUUUGAGGAAAUUAGAGUGUUCACGGCAGGCAAGUGCUUUGAAUACAUUAGCAUGGAAUAAUAAUAUAGGACCUUCGUUCUAUUUUGUUGGUUUCUAGAACUUAGGUAAUGAUUAAUAGGGACAAUUGGGGGCAUUCGUAUUAACGCGUCAGAGGUGGAAUUCUUGGAUUGCGUUACGACGAACUACUGCGAAAGCAUUUGCCAAAGAUGUUUUCAUUGAUCAAGAACGAAAGUAUGGGGAUCGAAGACGCUUAGAUACCGUCGUAGUCUAUACCAUAAACUAUGCCAACUAGAGAUCGGUGGGGUUAUCCUAUGUGGCUCCAUCGGCAUCUUAUGAGAAAUCAAAGUUUUUGGGUUCCGGGGGGAGUAUGGUCGCAAGGCUGAAACUUAAAGGAAUU
rnacentral:rRNA from 1 species